GAGAUCCGUUGCAUUAGGUACAGGGAGGGUAGGAUGAGUUUGGCUAUAACACCGCCGAUUGCAAACAGGAGAAUAUUGACAGAUGUAAACAUGAUCAAUUUUGAUGAUCAAAUCGUUAAACUGUUAGUCGAUACUCGAUCUGGUUAAUUCCUUCUUUAGUAGUCAUUACUCAUUACCUUGAUUAAAAAAUCACGUUUCGAUAAAUCGAUUGAACAAUGUUUUGGCUACUAAUGACUUUUUUAUUGGCGAGUGCUGAUUCCGCUGCUGCGUCUAAUGGUUUCGAUUUCGGUGACACCUUAGCAUUGAUCAUUGGACUUAUUAUGGGGAUCGUUGGAUUUUUCGCGUGCAUGGGAGCUUAUGCACGAAGAAGGAGUAGAUUUGACUCGAUUUAAAGAUUCGCUGCUAUUUAAUGAUUAACAAUAUUCAUGUCGAGUGCUAGAGAUGAGAUCUAGAGUUUCAGGAUGUAGAGUGGAUAGACAAAGGCUCAUCUAUCUCAAUUCAUUGGAAAAUACCAAUCGGAAUCAUCCUCUGAGAAUCGAAUAUCAAUUUUAAAAAACCAAGUAAUAUGAAUAUUAAAUAAUUUCUACCAUGUACAAUAAACUGCGAUGGUUAUUUUA